UUUAGAAAAAAGCAAACCAUUUGAAAGAUUGGGACGCAAAGCUACAGGUCUAAGGUUAUAAACUAAGAUGGCUGAGUUGCCUAA
rnacentral:ncRNA from 2 species